UUCCUUACGAAAUCUCCAUAA
rnacentral:piRNA from 1 species